UGGGGAAUAUUGGACAAUGGGGGCAACCCUGAUCCAGCCAUGCCGCGUGUGUGAAGAAGGCCUUAGGGUUGUAAAACACUUUCAGCGGGGAAGAUGAUGACGGUACCCGCAGAAGAAGCCCCGGCUAACUCCGUGCCAGCAGCCGCGGUAAUACGGAGGGGGCUAGCGUUGUUCGGAAUUACUGGGCGUAAAGGGCGUGUAGGCGGCCUGCCAAGUCAGAUGUGAAAGCCCCGGGCUUAACCUGGGAACUGCAUUUGAGACUGGCCGGCUAGAGGUUGGAAGAGGAGAGCGGAAUUCCCAGUGUAGAGGUGAAAUUCGUAGAUAUUGGGAAGAACACCAGUGGCGAAGGCGGCUAACUGGUCCGGUACUGACGCUGAGGUGCGAAAGCGUGGGGAGCAAACAGGAUUAGAUACCCCCGUAGUCCCUGAGCGGGCUGGCAAGGCGCAU
rnacentral:rRNA from 1 species